UACAGAGGGUGCGAGCGUUGUUCGGAAUUACUGGGCGUAAAGCGCGCGCAGGCGGCUUCCUAAGUCCGUCGGUGAAAGACCGGGGCUCAACCCCGUGUCAGCCAUGGAUACUGGGAGGCUGGAGACAGGUAGAGGCAAGCGGAAUUCCGGGUGUAGCGGUGGAAUGCGUAGAGAUCCGGAAGAACACCGGAGGCGAAGGCGGCUUGCUGGACCUGGUCUGACGCUGAGGCGCGAAAGCGUGGGGAGCGAACAGG
rnacentral:rRNA from 1 species